rnacentral:rRNA from 1 species
GACGAACGCUGGCGGCGUGCUUAACACAUGCAAGUCGAACGGAAAGGCCCUGCUUUUGUGGGGUGCUCGAGUGGCGAACGGGUGAGUAACACGUGAGUAACCUGCCCUUGACUUUGGGAUAACUUCAGGAAACUGGGGCUAAUACCGGAUAGGAGCUCCUGCUGCAUGGUGGGGGUUGGAAAGUUUCGGCGGUGGGGGAUGGACUCGCGGGUUAUCAGCUUGUUGGUGGGGUAGUGGCUUACCAAGGCUUUGACGGGUAGCCGGCCUGGGAGGGUGACCGGCCACAUUGGGACUGAGAUACGGCACAGACUCCUACGGGAGGCAGCAGUGGGGAAUAUUGCACAAUGGGCGGAAGCCUGAUGCAGCAACGCCGCGUGCGGGAUGACGGCCUUCGGGUUGUAAACCGCUUUCGCCUGUGACGAAGCGUGAGUGACGGUAAUGGGUAAAGAAGCACCGGCUAACUACGUG